AAAAAAAUGCACAAUUCAGGAAUUAUUAGAAUAUAUUUGGGGAACAAGUGACAUUGGAUAUUUUCGAUAUACUAACCAAAAUAAGACGCGGCAAGACAAACAGAAUAGAAAUUUUGAAAAAUAUGGAUAA